rnacentral:rRNA from 1 species
UACGAAGGGGGGCUAGCGUUGCUCGGAAUCACUGGGCGUAAAGCGCACGUAGGCGGCUUACUAAGUCAGGGGUGAAAUCCUGGAGCUCAACUCCAGAACUGCCUUUGAUACUGGUGAGCUUGAGUCCGGAAGAGGUGAGUGGAACUGCGAGUGUAGAGGUGAAAUUCGUAGAUAUUCGCAAGAACACCAGUGGCGAAGGCGGCUCACUGGCCCGGUACUGACGCUGAGGUGCGAAAGCGUGGGGAGCAAACAGG